AAACGACUGGACGUGACAGUGCCCUGCAGACUGGUUGGAGGUCUCAGGCAGGCCACACACUGAAUCUGUCAAGGUGUUCAACCUGUUCGAAAUGCUCGUUCCUCGGUGCUGUAAAGAAAUAGAACUUAAACUUAAAUUUAAUUUAUUUAGUAAGGCCAUUUUUACUUCCUGCAGAAAGGGUACACUCGCCAGCAGUUUUGCCAGGAGAGUACACUGAACAAAGGAGACAGGGUCAUUUAUAACGUGGCGCGUCCACCCUACUGCUGUGUCCGGUUUCCUUUGGCUGGAACGGGACCUCACAUUCUGUAUUUGUCCCGACUGACUAGCAACAUAGAACUUUUUAAAAGAGGCAAAGGCAGAGGAGAACAAAGGAAGAAGGAAGUAACUUGUGGAAUGCUGAGAAAGGCAGCUUGGAUUAAUUAGGAGAAAGUCAAUUGCGCCAGCAAAUGGAAAUCUCGGAAGAAGCAAAUCCAAGCAGUUGUUUGACUACUUAAUUGUCAUUGAUUUUGAAUCGACAUGCUGGAAUGAUGGGAAGCACCACCAUAGCCAGGAAAUAAUUGAGU
rnacentral:lncRNA from 10 species